rnacentral:rRNA from 1 species
GACGAACGCUGGCGGCGUGCCUAAUACAUGCAAGUCGAGCGAGCGGCGGACGGGUGAGUAAUGUAUGGGGACUGCCCGAUGGCGGGGGAUAACUACUGGAAACGGUGGCUAAUACCGCAUACUAUCAGAUAACCCAUAUGGGAUUAGCUUGUAGGUGGGGUAAAGGCUAACCUAGGCGACGAUCCCUAGCUGGUCUGAGAGGAUGAUCAGCACCACUGGGACUGAGACACGGCCCAGACUCCUACGGAGGCAGCAGUGGGGAAUAUUGCACAAUGGGCGCAAGCCUGAUGCAGCCAUGCCGCGUGUAUGAAGAAGGCCUUAGGGUUGUAAAGUACUUUCAGCGGGGAGGCGUUACCCGCAGAAGAAGCACCGGCUAACUCCGUGCCAGCAGCCGCGGUAAUUC